CUCUUUUUGUUUAUAUAUAAAGUAUAACCUGCCCACUGAUUUUAUUGAAGGGCCGCGGUAAUUUGACCGUGCAAAGGUAGCAUAAUCAUUAGUCUCUUAAUUAGAGGCUGGAAUGAAUGGUUGGACGAGACUUAACCUGUCUUGUAAUUUUUAUUAAAAUUUAAUUAUUAGGUUAAAAAGCUUAAAUGUAUUUAUGGGACGAGAAGACCCUAUAGAAUUUAAUAUUAUAAUUUAUUUAUAUUGUUUGUUUAUAAUUUUAUUAAUUAUAGUUUUUUGUUGGGGUGAUAGGAAGAUAAAAUAAACUCUUUUUAUUGUUAAAUAUUAAUAUAUAGAUUUUUGAUCCAUUAUUAGUGAUUAUAAGACUAAAUUACCUUAGGGAUAACAGCGUAAUCUUUUUUAAGAGUUCAUAUCAACAAGAAGGGUUGCGA
rnacentral:rRNA from 1 species